UGGUGUGUCAAUCACGUUCACAUGUAGCUGAAUUUGUCAUCUACAAACAGGGAUACUUUGCUGUUGCUAUGGAGACUAAUCCAGUGCACCACACCCCCCUCCACAUUCCGUGUGUUGAAACCAUGAGUCAGUCUAAACUACUAGAUCACACAUCCAACGGCAAGCCGCGUUGCGGCACUUGAGAUCCCCACCUAGCUGUACCAACAGGGGAAAUCACUUUUUGUAAAGAGAGAAGAGCGGCCAUUCACUCCAGAAAGGUUAAUGCCGGGGGGUCAAGUGAUUUCACACCCACGCCGGGAUCCUCUGCGUCGCCACGACUACCACGCCUCCAGCCGCUAUGACACCAGUGGCCUGAUUUAUGGGCUGUGAGAGGUGAUGGGAUGGAGGUGGAGGUGGAGAGGGAGAGGGACGGGGAGUACUGUUAUCUUAUGAUAAUGCUGUCCCUCCAUACUUCAACAAAUGAAGGAAGAGAAUACAGGGGAACUGGACUGUGCAGACUGGACUGCAUAAUAUCCCCCACUGUCGAUCAUCAUGUGCUUUUGGGUUGGUCCCUUGUGCUUUUGGGUUGGUAGAGCAUGGCAAUUGGUCAGGAUUUUGAGUUCAAUUCCCACAGCCGA